ensembl:lncRNA
UUCAUUUACAGCAUUUGGCUGACGCUCUUAUCCAGAGCGACUUACAGUUUGAUCAUUUUACACAGGAAGGUGAAGGCGGUGUUGGGAGUCUUGCCCAAGGACUCUUAUAGGUAUAGUGUAGGGAGGUUACACAAGCAGAGGACUGAACCCCAGUCUACAGCAGAGGUGAUACCCACUACACUAACCAACCACUAUAUACCCACUACACUAACCAACCACUAUACACCCACUACACUAUACCAACCACUAUAUACCCACUACACUAUACCAACCACUAUAUACCCACUACACUACACCAACCACUAUAUACCCACUACACUAUACCAACCGCUAUAUACCCACUACACUAACCAACCACUAUAUACCCACUACACUACACCAACCACUAUACACCCACUACACUACACCAACCGCUAUAUACCCACUACACCAACCGCUAUACACCCACUACACUACACCAACCACUAUAUACCCACUACACUAACCAACCACUAUACACCCACUACACUAUACCAACCGCUAUAUACCCACUACACUAACCAACCACUAUAUACCCACUACACUACACCAACCACUAUACACCCACUACACUACACCAACCGCUAUAUACCCACUACACCAACCGCUAUACACCCACUACACUACACCAACCACUAUAUACCCACUACACUAACCAACCACUAUAUACCCACUACACUAACCAACCACUAUAUACCCACUACACUAACCAACCACUAUAUACCCACUACACUAACCAACCACUAUAUACCCACUACACAACACCAACCACUAUACACCCACUACACUACACCAACCACUAUAUACCCACUACACUACACCAACCACUAUACACCCACUACACUAUACCAACCACUAUAUACCCACUACACUAACCAACCACUAUAUACCCACUACACUAACCAACCGCUAUAUACCCACUACACUAUACCAACCGCUAUAUACCCACUACACUACACCAACCGCUAUAUACCCACUACACUACACCAACCGCUAUAUACCCACUACACUACACCAACCGCUAUAUACCCACUACACUACACCAACCGCUAUAUACCCACUACACUAACCAACCGCUAUAUACCCACUACACUAUACCAACCGCUAUAUACCCACUACACUACACCAACCGCUAUAUACCCACUACACUACACCAACCGCUAUAUACCCACUACACUAUACCAACCGCUAUAUACCCACUACACUACACCAACCGCUAUAUACCCACUACACUACACCAACCACUAUAUACCCACUACACUAUACCAACCGCCUUCUUGUCUGAAACCAUUUUGCCCAAAGCUGUUUGAAACUGCAUGUCAAGAAAGAAAUGAACUUUAG